rnacentral:misc_RNA from 1 species
GCCUGCCCUUAAGGUGCGCGGCAAGCUCCUGUUGCGGCGAUGGCGGACAUUGGCGUCGAAAAAGGCGCUCAAGGCAUUCGAGGGUUUGCCCGAACGCUGACCUUGUCAGCGCAGCUCGUAGGUCUUGCCGUCCAUCGAGAUUCGUUCGGCGCGCAUUUCAUUCAUCUCGAUUUUCGACGGAUAUCCGUAAGCCGACACCU